AAGGGUAGAGGCGCGAUACUUAUCAGUACUAAUAAUGAGGUAAGCACAAAGACUUAUUAGGAAAGGAAUUAUCGCCGAAGUGUAUAACUGAUGCUUUAAGGUUAUAUGUCUGGGGAUGCAUAAAAUAUAUGUAUCACUGUCACAAACUUGUUUUGUGGUGAGCUACAU
rnacentral:ncRNA from 1 species